GGUUAUACUUAUAAUGCGAUAAAAAAAGUUCGGUAGGUAAUAAAUAGAGAUUUUUGAAUUAAUUUUUAAUUUUAUUAAGUGAAAUUUUUAAAAUUGAAAUAAAUUUGCAUAGAAUUUAUAAGGUUAAUAAAUUUAGGUUUUAGACUAGGAUUAGAUACCCUAUUAUUCUAAAUAAGAUUUAAGUCUCUUGGUUAGUAGUAGUUAUGGUCUUGAAAAUUAAAGAAGUUGGCGGUAUUUUAGUCUAUUCAGAGGAACCUGUCCUGUAAUUGAUGAUCCACGUUUUUUUUUACUUAUUUUAUUAAUUUGCAUAUCGCCGUAGAUUGAAUAUUUUUAUAAAAUUAUAAUGUUCAAUAUUUUUUAUGAGAAAAGAACUCAGGUCAAGGUGUAGUUUAUAGAUAAGAAGAGAUGGGUUACAAUAAAUUUAUUUAAAGACGGAUUAAUAAUUGAAAUUUUAUUAUAAAGGUGGAUUUGAGGGUAAUUUUAUUUAAAUUAAUAAGAUGAUUUGAGCUCUAAAAUAUGUACAUA
rnacentral:rRNA from 1 species